UCGGCAUACUGCUCAGUAACACGUGGUUAACCUGCCCUAAGGUGGAGAAUACUCCCGGGAAACUGGGGCUAAUGCUCCAUAGUGGAUAUGUCCUGGAAUGGUAUAUCCUCGAAAGAUCCGUCGCCUUAGGAUGGGACUGCGUCCGAUUAGGUUGUUGGCGGGGUAACGGCCCACCAAGCCAUUGAUCGGUACGGGUUGUGGGAGCAAGAUCCCGGAGAUGGAUUCUGAGACAUGAAUCCAGGCCCUACGGGGCGCAGCAGGCGCGCAAACUUUACAAUGCGAGCAAUCGUGAUAAGGAAACCCUGAGUGCCUGUCGAUGCAGGCUGUUCAUAUAUCUAAAUCAUACGUGAAGAAAGGGCAGGGCAAGACCGGUGCCAGCCGCCGCGGUAAUACCGGCUGCUCGAGUGAUGGCCACUAUUACUGGGUUUAAAGCGUCCGUAGCUUGACUGUUAGGUCUCUUGGGAAAUCUUCACGCUCAACGUGAAGGCGUCUAAGAGAUACCGGCAGUCUUGGAACUGGGAGAGGUAAACCGUACUUCGGGGGUAGGAGUGAAAUCUUGUAAUCCUCGAGGGACGACCUAUGGCGAAGGCAGUUUACCAGAACAGCUUCGACAGUGAGGGACGAAAGCUGGGGGAGCAAACGGGAUUAGAUACCCCGGUAGUCCCAGCCGUAAACAAUGUGCGUUAGGUGUGUCGGUAACCACGUGUUACUGAUGCGCCGAAGAGAAAUCGUGAAACGCACCACCUGGGAAGUACGGUCGCAAGGCUGAAACUUAAAGGAAUUGGCGGGGGAGCACCACAACAGGUGGAGCCUGCGGUUUAAUUGGAUUCAACGCCGGACAUCUCACCGGA
rnacentral:rRNA from 1 species